GACGAACGCUGGCGGCGUGCUUAACACAUGCAAGUCGAGCGGUAAGGCUCCUUCGGGAGUACACGAGCGGCGAACGGGUGAGUAACACGUGAGCAAUCUGCCCUUCACUUUGGGAUAACCACCGGAAACGGUGGCUAAUACCGGAUACGACCACUACAGGCAUCUGAUGGUGGUGGAAAGUUCCGGCGGUGAAGGAUGAGCUUGCGGCCUAUCAUCGUGUUGGUGAGGGAAGGGCUCACCACGGCUUCGACGGGUAGCCGGCCUGAGAGGGUGACCGGCCACACUGGGACUGAGACACGGCCCAGACUCCUACGGGAGGCAGCAGUGGGGAAUAUUGGACAAUGGGCGAAAGCCUGAUCCAGCAACGCCGCGUGAGGGAUGACGGCCUUCGGGUUGUAAACCUCUUUCAGCGGGGACGAAGCGAAAGUGACGGUACCCGCAGAAGAAGGACCGGCCAACUACGUGCCAGCAGCCGCCGUAAGAC
rnacentral:rRNA from 1 species